GUUCCGGUUUCAGGAUGUCCAUCUCCAUACACGACCUGACGAUUUCCGAUGUCGUGUAGUACCGUUUGUAUACCUUGUACGGUCUGGUUCAACAUGUCCAAGUUGCUCUUAGCCAGCACGUACAGUGACAACAACUCGGAAAACGAUGCCCCGAAAAAGUUGUCCAACGCGAACUGCUUACCCCUCUAGAGCCACACUGGAUUCAUCCAGUCGAGCAUAUUCCGGAGCAGCACGUCGAAAUUGCUGGGUAUAUAUUAUCCUUGAUCCUACCAAGCAGAUAAACCAACAUCAAGAAGUUCUCCUUUUCGGCUGCCGCAGAGCUCGUAAACGUCUCAUAAAUUUUGUCAAUGCUACUGAUUUGCUCCUUGCUUUCUAUGAUGAGUUGCAAUAAAAGAGCGAAUUAGAGAGAUAUUAAAA